GACGAACCGUGCAAACGUUGUUCGGAAUUACUGGGCGUAAAGGGCGCGUAGGCGGCCCGCUAAGUCGAACGUGAAAUCCCCAGGCUCAACCUGGGAACUGCGUCCGAUACUGGCAGGCUUGAAUCCGGGAGAGGGAUGUGGAAUUCCAGGUGUAGCGGUGAAAUGCGUAGAUAUCUGGAGGAACACCGGUGGCGAAGGCGGCAUCCUGGACCGGCAUUGACGCUGAGGCGCGAAAGCCAGGGGAGCGAACGGG
rnacentral:rRNA from 1 species